UCCAGAGAACUUGGCAGAGAUGCCUUGGUGCCUUCGGGAACUCUGAGACAGGUGCUGCAUGGCUGUCGUCAGCUCGUGUUGUGAAAUGUUGGGUUAAGUCCCGNAACGAGCGCAACCCCUAUCCUUUGUUGCCAGCGAUUCGGUCGGGAACUCAAAGGAGACUGCCGGUGAUAAACCGGAGGAAGGUGGGGAUGACGUCAAGUCAUCAUGGCCCUUACGAGUAGGGCUACACACGUGCUACAAUGGCGCAUACAAAGAGAAGCGACCUCGCGAGAGCAAGCGGACCUCAUAAAGUGCGUCGUAGUCCGGAUCGGAGUCUGCAACUCGACUCCGUGAAGUCGGAAUCGCUAGUAAUCGUAGAUCAGAAUGCUACGGUGAAUACGUUCCCGGGCCUUGUACACACCGCCCGUCACACCAUGGGAGUGGGUUGCAAAAGAAGUAGAUAGCUUAACCUUCGGGAGGGCGUUUACCACUUUGUGAUUCAUGACUGGGGUGAAGUCGUAACAAGGUAGGCGUAGCGAG
rnacentral:rRNA from 1 species